AAUAUUAAGCAUAACUUGCAAAUUGUAGACCUCCAAUUCGCAGAUUUUUCUUCCCAACAGUCAUUUACUUACAUGCAUCCGAACGUGUUAUGAACACUUAGGAACCUUCCCUACUCUCCCAGAGAGGAUUCCUUCAUAAUGGCAAGGUGAGACAAAAUAGUUAUUAUCCAAACCAACACCCCCUUGAGAAUAAGUGGAACUCUCCCAGACAAAUCUAAAUGUAAUGCCUAGAAAGAGCAACUGAAUCAUUCCUUCAUCUUUUUUUAUGGGAACAUAUGAAGCUGUGCUAAAUUGUGUGGUGGCAGUGAUGACAGCUGUGGCCCAUCUGGAGUGGCUGCUGCAAAGACAACGGCUGUAGCAGGUGACAGGAAGGAGAGAAGAGAAAGAAGAGCUGCAGCCCUUCGGGGAGCCAAGACUAGGAGUUCCUCAAGCCAAGACUGUGACACCUUCCUUGGGGCUCUGUGGUUCCUGGUAUCUUCUAGCUUCCAGAUGCCACCAUCUUCCCCAGUGACCAUAGUGGAAACUGCUUCUUGUAUGUCUGGUCCAGCCACAGCCUCUCAGGGAGCUGAUGUCUGUGAUGGCAUGUGUAGCUGACCACCCUGCCACAGCCAACAUGCCUGGCUGUGUGCAGUAGCUGGAUGCUGUGCUCUCUUGCUCAUAUACCCCUCUCCGCUCCACACUGGACUCGCCCUUGGCAGGCAUGUGAUCCAGGCUGGUAGCACAAGCCUAGUGCGGUUUGCUAGGCCAAGUGGGCAGAACAAACCCAGUGGGCCCAAGCAAAACUUGGGCAAAAGCACCACAGGCCACAGAGGUUUUAGGCAGGCGAAGUGACACCCUAGGUCCUGUGACAAUGGCAAGCUAAUAGUCUUUGCUGAUCGCUUCUUUUUUCUUGGAAAUAAAAAGAAAGAUCAUCAGAUAAGAGGAAGGAUACAGGAAGAUAUUGGAAGUCUAAUAAAAAGGGAGAAGUCAUAAAGCAAGUGAGCAAAUGAAUGAACUAGAGAAUUGCUUAAGAAUGCUAAGCAGCACUAAGGUGGGUGGUUGCAAAUGUAGCAUUGUUACAGGAAGCUGUUGUUCAUUGUACACAUUUUUGCCAGUCAUAUUUGGCCGUGCAGGCAAAAAUUAGUUGGAGAGUUGGAUUUUAUUAGGGUUGGCAUUUUAGCAAGUAAGUACAAUGAAGUUAUAAAACAGAAAGGAAGUUUAAGGAUAGCAGGAAGUGACUGUAAUUAAAAAAAAAAAAAACAAGGACUCUAAUAUAAGUCAUUAGAGAAAUGACCAUUUGAGGUGGGUACAGACAAUCAAGUUAUAUGAGCAGUUGAUUAUAUAUAGCAAUAGAGGAAAGAAUUGUCAGUGUACUGGGAAUGAGCUGAGAAGUUAAGAGGUGGAGGUGAAAAAGUGAAGGAAAAUGCUGCAGGGAUUUUGGUUAUUUCAAAUGAAAAGGGACGAAAAUGAUUGAGGUAGGUGGGAGACAUGUUAUUGGAGUAUAGGAAGUGAAAGGACAUUAAAAUAUGAAAUACAUUAAAAUAUGAAAAUUAAUUUUUACAUGGAAAUUAAAUUGCCACUAAUUACAAAAGCAGUAAUGCUAGAGAAUGUUAGUGAGACAAGUGCUAAAAUCUUAAAGAACAGGAGUGAAUGAAUCAUCAGUAGAAGAUGGCACUAAGGAAGGAGAGUAUAGAUAUAGUUUGAAGAUAAGGGACUUAGAUCUGAGUGCCUGGAAAUGGAAAUGAGAAACAAGGAGGAUAUGGAACCCUCUUCUGGCUACUCUGUGAUGGGGUUACAGGGGAAGCAGAGUUCAUAGGAGAAACAGAUUUCAGGUUGAGCAACAAAUGAUGGAACAAUUAAAGAAGACAAAGGAGAAUUUGCUCGUGGUGGACUGAAUUGCAGGGUACCAUCAGAACAUUUUAGUCUUCAGAGAGAAAUGGAAGAUGAGGCCUAUUAGAAAUAUUUGGGGUAGGAAUCUAAGGAAUGAGUGGUAUCCUGGGAGUCUUGGGCUUCUUAUGGUUAUUGAUGUAAACAAACAUAAAAGGCGUAUAGGAUUAGUUCUGGUAGCACAAAGAAUUAAAUGGUAGUAACAUUAUGAAAAACAGGAAUGGGGAGGAGGUGUUCACUAUUACAUCCACAUGGUUUAUAAAAGUCAUAUUAUAUAGAAUGGUAUAUAUGAAGUGUGAAAUUAAUCAUCCUACUUAACCCUCCAUAUUCACUAAGAACAGUUUAUUUGUAUUCACUGAAAAUUUCUAAGCACAUGUGAAAUAUAUAUAGAUAGACGACUAGCUCUAAUUAAUGUUUCUAUAAUUGCAUGCCUGCAAGUAUAUUUGUAUUAGUCUGUUUUCACACUGCUGAUAAAGGCACACCGGAGACUGGGCAAUUUACAAAGGAAAGAGAUUUAAUGGACUUACAGUUCCACAUGGCUGGGGAGGCCUCACAAUCAUGGCGGAAGGCAAGGAGGAGCGAAUCACAUAUUACAUAGAUGGCAGUAGACAAAGAGAGAACUUGAGCAGGGAAACCCUCAUUUUUAAAACCAUCAGAUCUCAUGAUACUCAUUCACUAUCACGAUAACUAUGCAGAAAAGACCCACCCCCAAAAUUCAAUCACCUCCUACCGGGUCCCUUCCAGAACACAUGGGAAUUGUGAGAGUUACAAUUCAAGAUGAGAUUUUGGUGGGGACACAGCCAAACCAUAUCAAUAUUUAUAUAGAACAAAGAUACUGUUCAUUCUGUUCUUUUAUCUCAUUGAAUUUACCUUUGGAAUAUUUAUUCAAUAAUCAUAUGUGAAUGUAUCUUACUUUUUAAAAACCUUC